AUUAUACAACACACCAGUUGUUCGUACAAACAAAAAGAAAAAAAAAUUCCGAGUCAUAAUGAUGGAUAUUAAAAAAAUUCAUGUUAUGAAAUGGAAUUGUCUUCAAUAUCCAUAUUCUAUACAAUAUAUCAUUCUGUAUGAAUCUUACUUGUUUUUGUAAGGUAGUUUUUGGAGCAAAGGCUAAUAUUCAGUCAAAAUAUUGGUCUCUCCAAUGUAGGGACAGAUGAUAAUGAUGACAGGAACUUACAAGGAGCGGCAUGAGGUCUGAAUAAAAAAGUGGGAUAUCAUCUUGUUCCGGAAUUGCUUGUGUUGGUGUGAGCAGGAAGAUAUUAGUAGCAUCAGCUAGGGCUCACACCAGAAUACCAAAGCAGAGCACUCCUUUUCAACUUUCUUCAGGUACCUGAGGAUCCGAGCGAUUAUUUGAACAUAUGUAUAAGUCAUGCUUUUGCUCGUGACAUUUUAUAUGUAUGAUGUCAUGACAAGAAAGACGUAUGGACAAUUUCAAUAUUUUGGUUUUUUGACCUGACUGGGAGAUAAAGAAUGCAAGUGCAACUAGUGUUGUGUUUUGUGAAGGGUUGGCACCCUCUUUGUAAGGGGUUCAAUUUUGGCUUUUGUUGGGAGUGAGUUUUUGAUUUUUGAAUAUUCAAAAGGGAUACGUACGGACCAGAUUUUUUAAUGUGGCAGCUGAAUAUCUGAAUUGUGAACUUAAUUGUAUGUCUAAUAU